rnacentral:rRNA from 1 species
CCUACGGGGAGCAGCAGUGAGGAAUAUUGGUCAAUGGCCGCAGGGCUGAACCAGCCCAGUCGCGUGAGGGAUGACGGUCCUAUGGAUUGUAAACCUCUUUUGUCAGGGAGCAAAGGGCGCCACGUGUGGCGUUUUGCGAGUACCUGAAGAAAAAGCAUCGGCUAACUCCGUGCCAGCAGCCGCGGUAAUACGGAGGAUGCGAGCGUUAUCCGUAUUUAUUGGGUUUAAAGGGUGCGCAGGCGGAAUGUUAAGUCAGCGGUAAAAUUUCGGGGCUCAACCGUAAAAUUGCAAUUGAUACUGGCAGUCUUGAGUACAGUUGAGGUAGGCGGAAUUCGUGGUGUAGCGGUGAAAUGCUUAGAUAUCACGAAGAACUCCGAUUGCGAAGGCAGCUUACUAAACUUCCACUGACAUUGAUGCUCGAAAGUGUGGGUAUCAAACAGGAUUAGAUACCCCGGUAGUC